rnacentral:rRNA from 1 species
GACAUAGGUGGCGAACGUUAUCCGGAAUUACUGGGCGUAAAGUGUGCGUAGGUGGUUUAAUAAGUUAUCGGUGGGAAAUUGGGGCUCAACCCCACGGAAGUCGGUAAUACUAUUAAACUAGAGGAUCGGAGAGGUUAACGGAAUUCACAUGUGGAGCGGUGAAGUGCGUGGAUAUCGUUUGGAACGCCAAUGGUGAAAACAGGUCGCUGGGAGUGCGCUGACGCUGAGACACGAAAGCCAGGGGAGCGAACGGG